GCCAUUCCCUCCUUUUAUUCCUACUUUUGUUUUUUAUUGCGUCUGUGCCACCGCUUUGUAUUACAAAAACGAAUUUAUUUAAAAGCUUGAAACCAACGCGAUGACGAUUCCUUUGCUGACGCUCUCACACCAGCAACCGUUUUGGAAGUUUAGAACUCACCGAGUCAUUGCAAACACCACCGAAUCAACUCGUAAUCUCUGCAAAUCGACCCUAUAUUUGUUCCUCGCACUCGCCACUCCUUUCAUUGCUUAUCGCUGCUUUAACUCCUUUACAAUGUUUUGGUCUUCGUCUUCGUCAUCCUCUCAACCCGCUACCAAAAUCGAUGCCGAAUCUCUCCGCCGUCAACGAAUUAACUCUAGCAAGCUCUAUCAGCCUGAUGCUUCCUCCAAGGUUCCAGUUAUCUACUCUUCUUAUUACGAUAUCAGCUUCCUCGGAAUUGAGAAACUGCAUCCGUUCGAUUCUUCGAAAUGGGGUCGGAUAUGCCGAUUCUUGAUGUCGGAAGGUUACCUGGAAAAAAAAUCUAUUGUUGAUCCAUUGGAAGCUUCAAGGGACGACCUACUUGUGGUGCAUACAGAAGCAUACCUGAACAGCCUGAAUAACAGCGUGAAUGUUGCCAGGAUAACUGAGGUUCCUCCUGUAGCAAUGUUACCCAAUUGGCUUGUUCAGAUGAAAGUUCUUUAUCCCUUCCGAAGGCAGGUGGGUGGAACUGUUCUGGCGGCUAAGUUAGCGAUGGACCGAGGAUGGGCUAUCAAUGUUGGGGGAGGGUUUCAUCAUUGCAGUGGUGGAAGGGGAGGUGGAUUUUGUGCAUACGCAGAUAUUUCCCUUUGCAUUCAUUUUGCUUUUGUUCGGUUAAAUAUAUCAAGGGUGAUGAUAAUUGAUUUAGAUGCACAUCAAGGAAAUGGUCAUGAAAUGGAUUUUGGUAAUGACGAGCGUGUGUACAUCCUGGAUAUGUACAAUCCAGGAAUCUACCCAUUUGAUAUGACUGCUAGAAAUUAUAUUAACCAGAAGGUUGAAGUGGUGACUGGGACUGCAACUGUUGACUAUUUGGACCAAUUGGAUAAAGCACUUGCGGUAGCGGGGAGUAAUUUUGCCCCUGAGUUGAUUGUUUACAAUGCUGGAACUGAUAUUCUCGAUGGAGAUCCACUGGGUGGAUUAAAGAAUUGUCCUUUCAAUGAUGGCCCUGGAGAGUGGAGAGCAGCCUAAACAUCAUACAGAAAGAAGGAAGCUGAUGCUGGUUGCAGGAACACAUUCCUGUUUUAUCUCAUAUUAUGUGCUAACAUGGUCAUGUUGAUUCAUAUGAGAUUUUGUGUUCAUCUCCCUACAAACUCUGCAGAGCUUCACUUGCCUGCUUAUAGGUUAACUGAACAGCGCUGCAUUAGGAUGAUGCAUCUUCAGACCACUAGAAGCAGAUUAGAACGGUCGUUCUUUUCCACUAAACUGUGAAAGAAAAUCCUUCAUUUAUAGUACAUUCAUUUCAAAUAAGUAGUUUUGAACCAAAAAGGGAAGUAGAUAAGUAGCAAUGAGGAUUAGAUUAUCAUGCAAAAUUACAGAGAUUUUCUGUAUCUUAAAUGUUGGUUUAACUCUAGAAAUAUCCUACAAGAUUUCGGGGAUAUAAUUCUAGAUGGGCUGCUUGGCAUAAUCCGGAGUAUCAGUGCUUGCAGUGAAGGGAUGGAGUGUCGCAUGUGAAAAACAAAAAGUAAAAGAAAGUUUGAGACGACUACAACCAAGAAGGCUGCUUAAGGCAGUUCAUUUCUGUGCCCCUUUAAAUUCUGGGGCAUUCAGUAAAAUACACCAUGUUUUAUUUUUAAAAUAUUUCUUUUUAUUGGAUGGUGCAUCUCUGCAUAAUUAAUAUUUGCUAGUUUUCACUUGCGGCUAUUCGUCACUUAUAAUUUUCAGGUCAGUCCAGAGGGGGUGAUCAAAAGAGAUGAGAAGGUCUUCAGGUUUGCUCGUGAUAGAAAGAUCCCUAUUGUAAUGGUCACAUCAGGUGGCUAUAUGAAAACCAGUGCCAGAGUCAUAGCAGAUUCCAUUAUAAACCUCUCAAAUGAAGGCUUGAUAGAGACAAAUGUCCACAGCGGAAGAAAAAUAAUGAUAUAAG